AAUGCCUUUUUUUUAUUAUUUUUUUUUUCAUUCCCAAUUCUUUCUGAGUUUUACGAAACGAAAAUUGGGAAUCCAUUUCCACAGCUUCAAAUCCUGUUUCAUUCAUCGAUUUCAGAAAUUGGCAAUUCUCAUCGAUUUUGUCUUUCAAAUCGUUUGAAAUCAAUCGUCCAAAGGCACACAUGCGGGCAGAUCUACAUCGAGUUUCAUAAGCUUUCUUCUGUAAUAGCUCGACAGUAAAGGUUUUUUCUGUAGAAAUUUGCUGCGUUUUGAUGAUGAUGAUGAUGAUCAAAUCGAUUCCUUUGUGAUCUUCGACCAGGUGCUUCACAUGGACAUGAAUGAUUACUAUGGUGGAGAAACAACAUCGCUUAAUCUCAAUCAGCUUUAGAAGAAUUUUAAGGGAGAAGAGAAGGCUCCUGAGAGGGAUUACAAUGUGAUGGACCAGUUUAUGAUGGGUAAUGGAAAACUUGUCCAUGUCCUUAUCCACACUGAUGUUACUAAGUAUUUGUCCUUUAAAGCUGUUGAUGGAAGCUAUGUUUUCGUCAAAGGAAAGGUACAAGCUUCUCAUUGAUGUAUAGGUUUCACUGACUCCUUUGGAGGCCCUGAAACUGGCUAAUUAAAGCAGCAUCUGGAGAAGAAGUGUACAAACAAUAAUCAUGAAAACAGUACAGAUUAUACAAUACUGUAUAACAAAAUUGUAUCUUUCAUAUUAUGGUGUUAGUGACAUUUGUAUUUGGAGCCGAUUUAUAUUCUAUGUAAAAUCAUAUUCGAAUCCCAUGUAGAGAAUGGAACCUGAUUCAUUAA